GGUAGAGUGGCCGAGUGGUCAAAGGCAACAGACUGUAAAUCUGUCGGCGGAAGCCUACGUUGGUUCGAACCCAACCUCUACCACCA
rnacentral:tRNA from 1 species